GAGUUUGAACCUGGCUCAGGAUGAACGCUGGCGGCGUGCUUAACACAUGCAAGUCGAACGGGGUGCCCUUGAAGGAGUUUUCGGACAACAGAUAGGGUUACUUAGUGGCGGACGGGUGAGUAACGCGUGAGGAACCUGCCUUGGAGUGGGGAAUAACAGCUGGAAACAGCUGCUAAUACCGCAUGAUGCAGUUGGGCCGCAUGGCUCUGACUGCCAAAGAUUUAUCGCUCUGAGAUGGACUCGCGUCUGAUUAGCUAGUUGGCGGGGUAACGGCCCACCAAGGCGACGAUCAGUAGCCGGACCGAGAGGCUGGCCGGCCACAUUGGGACUGAGACACGGCCCAGACUCCUACGGGAGGCAGCAGUGGGGAAUAUUGGGCAAUGGGCGCAAGCCUGACCCAGCAACGCCGCGUGAAGGAAGAAGGCUUUCGGGUUGUAAACUUCUUUUGUCAGGGACGAAGCAAGUGACGGUACCUGACGAAUAAGCCACGGCUAACUACGUGCCAGCAGCCGCGGUAAUACGUAGGUGGCAAGCGUUAUCCGGAUUUACUGGGUGUAAAGGGCGUGUAGGCGGGACUGCAAGUCAGAUGUGAAAACCACGGGCUCAACCUGUGGCCUGCAUUUGAAACUGUAGUUCUUGAGUACUGGAGAGGCAGACGGAAUUCCUAGUGUAGCGGUGAAAUGCGUAGAUAUUAGGAGGAACACCAGUGGCGAAGGCGGUCUGCCGGACAGCAA
rnacentral:rRNA from 1 species